AUACUGCUUUUGAUUUGAAACUCCUGAGACGCUAGAGAAUCAAAUUAGUGAUCUCAACAGCUUACUACAUCACAACCACGCACUGCAAAAUUAUAAUUCAACAAAACAAAUUUAAGACCUAAGUUAAAUGAACUGAAAUAUACACUAUAACAGUUUCAGAAAAUAAAAUAACACCUACAUCCAAAACUUCAAAUUCCAAAAAAAAAAAAGGCUUGAAAGCCUUCCCCCGGAAUAAUUACCAAUUUUCCUUUUCCUUGUAUAUGCACCGCAUCAACAAUUAACACCUAAAUUACUAUUUUGCCAAAAAUCUCUAAAUGUCCAAAAAAGAAAGAAGAAAUUAUAAUCUCACAUUAUUAAUUGCUGUGUGUCAAACCCAGACAUUUCAUUUGGAACAAGAUAAUUUCCCGUAGUGAUGCCAAUGGGCCGAGCUGGUCGCUCGGCUCGGCCCAUCUAUCCAUGACCUCGUGAGUUCACGAGCCGAGCUGAGCCAACGAGCUCGUGAGUUUUUAUUUAUUUUUACUUUUUAAAAUUUUAAAAUUUU
rnacentral:lncRNA from 1 species